rnacentral:rRNA from 1 species
CCCAAGCUCAGGCUGUGAGCAAGCUUAGCUACUAGUUGGUCAGAACUUAGGCCAGCGAACGCAGCUGUGUGUCUCCGUUGACCUUGAUCCUUGAAUCCAAUCUGAUAUGAUCUCGGACCCCUUGACUUGACCUCAAAUC